GAACCGCAUGGUCGAAAUUGAAAGGCGGCUUCGGCUGUUCACUUAUGGAUGGACCCGCGUCGCAUUAGCUAGUUGGUGAGGUAACGGCUCACCAAGGCAACGAUGCGUAGCCGACCUGAGAGGGUGAUCGUGCCACACUGGGACUGAGACACGGCCCAGACUCCUACGGGAGGCAGCAGUAGGGAAUCUUCCGCAAUGGACGAAAGUCUGACGGAGCAACGCCCGUGAGUGAUGAAGGCUUUCGGGUCGUAAAACUCUGUUGUUAGGAGAACAAGUGCUAGUUGAAUAAGCUGGCACCUUGACGGUACCUAACCAGAAAGCCACGGCUAACUACGUGCCAGCAGCCGCGGUAAUACGUAGGUGGCAAGCGUUAUCCGGAAUUAUUGGGCGUAAAGCGCGCGCAGGUGGUUUCGGUUAAGUCUGAUGUGAAAGCCCACGGCUCAACCGUGGAGGGUCAUUGGAAACUGGGAGACUUGAGUGCAGAAGAGGAAAGUGGAAUUCCAUGUGUAGCGGUGAAAUGCGUAGAGAUAUGGAGGAACUCCAGUGGCGAAGGCGACUUUCUGGUCUGAACUGACACUGAGGCGCUCAGAAAGCGUGGGGGAGCAAACAGGAUUAGAUACCUGGUAGUCCACGCCGUAAACGAUGAGUGCUAAGUGUUAGAGGGUUUCCGCCCCGUUUAGUGCUGAAGUUAACGCAUUAAGCACUCCGCCUGGGGAGUACGGCCGCAAGGCUGAAACUCAAAGGAAUUGACGGGGGCCCGCACAAGCGUGUGGAGCAUGUGGUUUAAUUCGAAGCAACGCGAAGAACCUUACCAGGUCUUGACAUCCUCUGAAAACCCUAGAGAUAGGGCUUCUCCGGGAGCAGAGUGACAGGUGGUGCAUGGUUGUCUCAGCUCAAGUGUCGUGAGAUGUAUGGGUUAAGUCCCGCAACGAGCGCAACCCUUGAUCUGGUAGUUGCCAUCAUUAAGUUGGGCACUCUAAGGUGACUGCCGGUGACAAACCGGAGGAAGGUGGGGAUGACGUCAAAUCAUCAUGCCCCUUAUGACCUGGGCUACACACGUGCUACAAUGGACGGAAAGAGCUGCGGAAGACCGCGAGGUGGAGCUAAUCUCAUAAAACCGUUCUC
rnacentral:rRNA from 1 species